CUUAUACUCCCUCCGUUCGAAAAUACUUGUCAUUGAAAUGGAUGUAUCUAGAUGUAUUUUAGUUCUAGACACAUCCAUUUUGAUGACAAGUAAUUCUAGAUGGAGGGAGUACUUG
rnacentral:pre_miRNA from 1 species